UUUCAAUAUCUUCACGCAGUGCUCGUCGCUCCAGUCAUGCAGGAUCCACUGGAUCAUUAAUUCACCAAAACAAUUUUAAUUUGAAGCCUACGUAUUGGGUUUUUGAUACAUACCUUCAUGUAAAUAGCAUCAGCACUGGGAAUGGACACAAACAUGUCUCCACCAACAUGGGUGAUUCCAUCAUACUUGGGAGCAGUGGCAACCACAUGAGG